CAUAUUUCAUCUAUUAUAUUCUACCCGAAACAAGAGAAAGAACAUGUCUAGCAGGUCUCGUGUACAAUACAGACUACAGAACUCUUUUUCUCAGACGGACAUCCUGUAUAUUUCUCCAAGACAAUAGCAGAGAGUUCACAUUAAACAGACACAUCUAUAAAUACUUGUAACUUGCCAAAGGAUAGUGAAAACCAAAGGGGAUGGUAUACAAUCAAAAGAAUAUGGUUGUAUGCAGCUACCAAUUAAUUUACUUCCCUUAACGUUCAACAUCCAACAUAUGAAUAACGCUUGAAAUGCAAGGAAAAAGACUUCGGUCAUCUUUGGUUCAAUGGUCACUGGCAUCAACUUCAUCCUCGUUGAGCCACAGUAGGUUCUUCAUGGUACCACCCAAAAUUAUAUUUUCGGUAUGGUUCUUCUGUGUGGUCCUCUCUAACAAUUUACAUUAGGCAGUGGAAAACCAAAUGAAAGUUGCACAAGGGCAAAGUUCACUGAAUUCACUUUUUGGAGAGGACAGGCUUUACUGAUUCUACAAUUACUCUUCCAUCAUAAGAUAAAGAAGCAAAAAUCCAAGGCUCACGAGAACUCCACGCAAGACCAUAAACACUGUCUUCAUAAUCACUGUAUGAAUUAAGC
rnacentral:misc_RNA from 1 species